rnacentral:lncRNA from 1 species
AUUCUUCUUCUCGAUAAUUUGAUCUCAGAAGCGAUGACGAUGCAAGGUCGUUUGCUGUUUGACACUUGAUUGGCCAUUCUGUGAGUUGUGGAGUGGUUUCUUGUCUAUCUUCUUGUGCAUGCUACUCUAUUUAUUAGUUUAUUUUACACAGAGUUAUCUCUCUUACGAAAUGUUAGUUUGAUUUAGAUAGUAUUUCGACUGCACUUUUUUCUAUUAGAUCAAGUUGGCUUUUGGAUUGACCGCUCACCCUCCAU